AACGAACGCUGGCGGCAGGCUUAACACAUGCAAGUCGAGCGCCCCGCAAGGGGAGCGGCAGACGGGUGAGUAACGCGUGGGAAUCUACCCAUCUCUACGGAAUAACGCAUGGAAACGUGUGCUAAUAACGUAUACGUCCUUCGGGAGAAAGAUUUAUCGGAGAUGGAUGAGCCCGCGUUGGAUUAGCUAGUUGGUGGGGUAAAGGCCUACCAAGGCGACGAUCCAUAGCUGGUCGGAGAGGAUGAUCAGCCACACUGGGACUGAGACACGGCCCGGAGUCCUACGGGGGGCAGCAGUGGGGAAUAUUGGACAAUGGGCGCAAGCCUGAUCCAGCCAUGCCGCGUGAGUGAUGAAGGCCCUAGGGUUGUAAAGCUCUUUCACCGGUGAAGAUAAUGACGGUAACCGGAGAAGAAGCCACGGCUAACUUCGUGCCAGCCGCCCGCCGUAAGAC
rnacentral:rRNA from 1 species